rnacentral:rRNA from 1 species
AGGAUAUUACCGAACCGUCGAACGAAGCUGUUGCUGGCCCUCGGAUGGGGGCAUGUGCACGCUCUGUUUACACAUCCACUCACACCUGUGCACUCUCUGUGGUUCUAUGGUUUGGGGGCUCGGCCCUCCCACCGUGGGUUCCAUGCAUUUACACACACACACCGUAACAAAGUCUUAUGGAACGUAUUUCGCGUUUAACGCAAUGCAAUACAACUUUCAGCAACGGAUCUCUUGGCUCUCGCAUCGAUGAAGAACGCAGCGAAAUGCGAUAAGUAAUGUGAAUUGCAGGAUUCAGUGAAUCAUCGAAUCUUUGAACGCACAUUGCGUCCCUUGGUAUUCCGAGGGGCAUGCCUGUUCGAGCGUCAUUAUGACCAAUCAAGCUUGUCUUGGUAUUGGGGUUCGCCAUUUAGCGGCCCUUAAACCUAAUGGCGGUGCCGUUAGGCUCUCAGCGUAGUAAUACUCCUCGCUACAGGGUCUCACGGUUACUUGCCACAAACCCCAACUUUCUUAGGUUGACCUCGGAUCAGGUAGGGAUACCCGCUGAACUUAA